UGGGUAACCUGCCUCAAAGAGGGGAAUAGCCUCCCGAAAGGGAGAUUAAUACCGCAUAACAUGUUUAGGUCGCAUGAUUUUAACAUCAAAGGAUUUUCUUCGGAACUUCCACUUUGAGAUGGACCCGCGGCGCAUUAGCUAGUUGGUGAGGUAACGGCUCACCAAGGCAACGAUGCGUAGCCGACCUGAGAGGGUGAUCGGCCACAUUGGAACUGAGACACGGUCCAGACUCCUAGGGAGG
rnacentral:rRNA from 1 species